rnacentral:rRNA from 1 species
UAGGGAAUAUUGCGCAAUGGGCGAAAGCCUGACGCAGCAAUGCCGCGUGAGUGAGGAAGGCCUUCGGGUUGUAAAGCUCUGUCACCAGAGAAAAACGGCAGUGCGGUUAAUAGUCGCAUUGAUUGAUGGUAUCUGGAGAGGAAGCACCGGCAAACUUCGUGCCAGCAGCCGCGGUAAUACGAAGGGUGCAAGCGUUGUUCGGAUUUAUUGGGCGUAAAGCGCGCGCAGGCGGAUCGGCAAGUCAGAUGUGAAAUCUCGGGGCUCAACCCCGAAACUGCGUCUGAAACUACCGACCUUGAAUACUGGAGAGGGAGGGGGAAUUUCGCAUGUAGGGGUAAAAUCCGUAGAUAUGCGAAGGAACACCGGAGGCGAAGGCGCCCUCCUGGCCGGUUAUUGACGC